GAUGAAGAACGCAGCGAAAUGCGAUAAGUAAUGUGAAUUGCAGAAUUCAGUGAAUCAUCGAAUCUUUGAACGCACAUUGCGCCCGCCAGUAUUCUGGCGGGCAUGCCUGUUCGGGCGUCAUUUCAACCAUCAAGCCCCAGGCUUGUGUUGGGGACCUGCGGCUGCCGCAGGCCCUGAAAACCAGUGGCGGGCUCGCUGUCACACCGGGCGUAGUAGAUUUUAUCUCGCUCAGGGCGUGCUGCGGGUUCCGGCCGUUAAAAAGCCUUUUUUACCCAAGGUUGACCUCGGAUCAGGUAGGAAGACCCGCUGAACUUAAGCAUAUCAAUAAGCGGAGGA
rnacentral:misc_RNA from 1 species